CAUGCACGUGCGUCGUGGAUCUCUCGGGGUUACAGCCUUGCUGAAUUAUUCACCCUUGUCUUUUGCGUACUUCUUGUUUCCUUGGUGGGUUCGCCCACCACUAGGACAAACAUAAACCUUUUGUAAUUGCAAUCAGCGUCAGUAACAAAUUAAUAAUUACAACUUUCAACAACGGAUCUCUUGGUUCUGGCAUCGAUGAAGAACGCAGCGAAAUGCGAUAAGUAGUGUGAAUUGCAGAAUUCAGUGAAUCAUCGAAUCUUUGAACGCACAUUGCGCCCUUUGGUAUUCCAAAGGGCAUGCCUGUUCGAGCGUCAUUUGUACCCUCAAGCUUUGCUUGGUGUUGGGCGUCUUGUCUCUAGCUUUGCUGGAGACUCGCCUUAAAGUAAUUGGCAGCCGGCCUACUGGUUUCGGAGCGCAGCACAAGUCGCACUCUCUAUCAGCAAAGGUCUAGCAUCCAUUAAGCCUUUUUUCAACUUUUGACCUCGGAUCAGGUAGGGAUACCCGCUGAACUUAAGCAUAUCAAUAAG
rnacentral:rRNA from 1 species